rnacentral:sRNA from 1 species
ACUUCUUUGCCUGAUUUAUGACAAAAAGUUUUUAAAGAGUUUUU